AACAAAACAAAUGAAAAUGGUUACCCAUAGGAGGUGUUACCCGGUGUAAUGCCUAUAUGACAGUUGAAUUCUGAUCCUGCCCCAACUCUGCUUACCUUUAAGAAACAGGAUACCUGUAAUAAAAAGUUCCCUUUGAAAUAACGAGACCGGGUGAGACUGGUUAGAACCAAGAUAGCUGACAUAAUGAAAAGACCUCACGUUUCAUUAUAAUCUCAUUUCCAUGCUAAAUGAAAUGGUACUCCCACCAGUUCCAUGACAGUUGGCAAAUGACCGUAACAACUGCAAGAAGCCAUAAAAGGACAAAAAGGAUGGUGGCACUCCAGUUCUAGAAAGUUCACUGCCCAUUUCUAGAAAAGACAUGAAUAUUAAUCCUCUUGCUUUUAAUGUCCAAUGCCUUCAUUAGAAAACCCUAUAUUUUAACCCCCCAGCCUAUCACUAGUGGAGAAGUUGAAUUAUGAGCCAUGCUCCUGCUUCUCAAUUCCAUGGCCAUCAAAUAAAGCCUGCACUGCUUGAUACUCACUUCUGGUUUUGUGUACUGGUUUUGUGACAAUGAACAGGGAAAGACCCCAUCUUUUGGGAAACCAGCUUUGUUGGUAACAGAGGCAGGUGUAAAUGAAGAAAAUAAAAGGGAGUCUUUUUUGAGUAUAUCUUUUUAUAAGGUUUGACUUUUGAACCAUGUAAAUGUUUUAUAUUCUCCAAAAUUAAAAUAACAAUAAAAAACGCCCCAAACUGAAAAUUAAGUGAAAUCAACUGUAUAGCAAAUUGGUAUUACAACCAUACAGAAAAUAACUGUUUCAAGCAACUUUUAAGCAUAUAUUCUGAUCCUUGGUGGGAUAUGUUCUAAAGACAAAAGAACUGCAAAGAAAUCUUACAUUUCAGUUAUUUUAUUUUUAGAAAAUCAGUAUUGCAAUUUUUAAAUCAUUUUAUGUAAAUUGUAGGAAAAGGCUAAUGUAUUAAUGUAAUUCAGAACCAAGUCCUUCGGUGUAACAGAAGAGAAAUAAAAAACAGAUAAGUUAAGCAAAAAUAAAUAUAAAUAUAAAACAAAGUUGUUAAGCAAAAAUCUUAUAAUAUUAAACUGGAGUGGAAAAUAUCAAUUAGGAAUUUGAUUGAAUAUUUAUAUAUAACACUAUAUAAUAUUAUAUUAUAUAUUUUUCUAAUUCUCUUUACCAAAAAGAUGCAGAAUAAAGCACACCCUGUGCACAUCUAGUAUCCACAUGUUACUUUUCAAAUGCCAUUUCCCACUAAAUGAAACUAGGACUCCCUGAAGAAACAGUCUGAUGCCAGGUCUCGACGAGGGGAAGCAAAGACUCAUCUUUGUACUACAGAGCAAGAAAGUGCUCACAGAGGUCUAUUUAUGAGUAUGUGAAGGCAGCAACAGCACUGGUGGCUGCGAGUGGAACUAAAAAGCAGAAAAACAUUAGGCUUAUGUCCUGCAAGAGAGUUGCACCUGUAAUACUCACAGAACAGGAUUCAUUCACUAUCAAAGCACUUGAGACCAGAAGUGAAUUGAAACCACCUAAAGAGGUCAUCCAGCUCCAAUACAGCUCAACUCCUGAUGGUAUCAAAGUGUUCAGUCUUUCAUUCUAGCUGCCUUUCAGAGCAAAAAAAGCAUGUCUCUCUGGAGAAAAAGGGUAUUUAUGCCAAUCUCUUCUAAACACAAUGCCAGUAUAAAAACAGAAUUAUCACACAUAAAGCAGGAAAAAAUGACCCAUAACCAAAAGAAAAAAUAGCCAAAAGAAACAGACCCACAGAUAAGACAUGUUAGAAUAAGCAGACAAAAACUUUAAAAUAACUAUUUUAAAUUUAUUUUUUUAAAAUAGAGAAAAAGACAACCCAAAUGGACAAAAACAGAGAACUUCAACAGAAAAAUUAAAUCUCUAAAAAGCCAAGUAACUAUUAUAGAAAAACUGGGAAAAAUGGUAUCUUAAAAACAUCUUUACUGGUUAAUGAUAGAUAAAAAAGCCAAGAAAGAAAAAUCAGUAAAGAUAUAUAGAAUACUUGAACAACACUAUUAACCAGCUUGAACCAACAAUUGCAAAAUGCAGAAUGUGGGAUAUUCUACAAAUUAACUGACAUUUGUCUAAAAACUCAAUGUUAUGAAACAAACAAACAAAAAAACCAAGAACCUAAAGAAUUGUAACCACCAAAUGCAAUGUAUGAGACUUGAUUGGAUUUAGAAAAAAAUACAUAUAUAUAUAAAUUUUAAAAUAUAUUUUGAAGACAGAAAAAUCUGAACUUAUGAACUAAGUAUUUUAGAAAAUUAGAUUACUGUUAACUGUCUUAAUAUGAUGACGGUGUUGUGGUUAUGUAGAAAAAUUUCCUAAUUCUUAGGAGAUGUGUGCUAAUAGAUUUAGGGAUAAAAUGUAAUGUUAUCUGUAAUUUACCUUCAAAUAGUUCAGGAAAUAGUGUGUUUAUAGUAUAUAUUUCUCUGUAUUUAAAGAGCUAAAAAAGGCAAAUUCCUUUAUUGAAGGUAUAGCUAUACCUGUAUAUUGCAUUUUUUUCUCUGGCUUUUAAUGAUUCAUAUUACAUAUAAAAUUUUAUUAUUCUGUCCUUGGCAGGAUAAUGUCAGUAAGGCUUACCUCAUAUAACAUAUUCCCAUAAGUUUUAAGUAUAACAAGAAGCAAACUUUUGUCCAACCCUUUUUAAAGCCCACUUUAGCUUUCAAACUGACAUGCUUUUAGAAUUAUCAAAAAGAGAAAAAAACUGCAUAUAGCUCAUAAUUAUAUAUAACUCAAGUUUCAAAACACAAUAUUGUUUCAAAGUCUUUUCCCCAAACCUAGUUUUAUGUUUAAAGAUGUUACAUAACUUCUCUUAGUAUUACUUCUGAUAGUAAAAAAAAAAAUAAAGAAAUUUAACCAUAUCUUGCCACUGUUCUUUUUUUAACAGUAUGACCUAAAUUCCUAAUGAUUUUUCAUCAGUUUACAUAAAAAAUGACCUCAUGUGAUAAUAUAACGAUUGAUAAAACAAAAAUCCAAGGAAAAAGGAAGAAGACUGAAGUUUGAGGCAGAUUCAUUGUUCAAGUAGAAGGUGAAAGCAAUUGCUCCAAUAAGAAUACUACCUAUCAAAGUUCAUUUAAGAGAUACAGUUUGAGGGCCUGCCUGCUGUACUGUAAUAGUAAUUUAAAAGCACUACGCUAAAAUCCAACAAUGAUGGUCUUAAACAGCAAUAGUACUGAUUUCCUGACUUUCUGUUACAGGGGAACUAUUUGGUUCAGUAGUAUGCCUCAUUUUGUGUUUCUUAACUUGAGGGAGAAAAUGUAUAUUCUGUAAAACAGUCAGAUUUAUAACCAUCUUCUCUCUAGAAAUGCAAAUAAAAACAUUUAACCCCAACCAUCCCAUCUCCUAUUAUUUUGGCACCUUUCUUUAGUUCCUUAACUCCAUUAUUCUUUGACUCCACAAUCCACUGAUGGUACCACUUUCUAACUAUACCUUAUAUUUUCAAUUCCCUUACAUAUCAUAAUCACUAAAAUGUGUGCCCCAUCACCUCCCUGGCUCCUCUGAGUCAUUACACUUAUUUGAGCAUUAAUCCUAGUACACUGUCCUGUCAACUCACUAUCUCAUUCACCAACUGUUUAACUAUAAUUUCGUGCCAUGAUUAUUGAAGUAGUUUUCUAACUGGGUUCCCUUACUGACACCCUUGCCCUUCCUAUAGUCUGUUCUUAACACAGAAAUUAAUUCUUAAGAAUUCUUGACAUCUUGCAAAAGGUUAAUAAAAUCCUGUCACUUCUUUUGUCAAAACAGCCAUAUGACUUCCCAUGUCAGAGUAAAAAUCAAUGUCUUAAAAUGGCCCACAAGACCCUACAAAAUCUAGCUGUUCAUUGCCUUAUUUUCUACCUCUCUCCCUCUGUCAUUUUGCUCUGGCCACACUGGUCUCCUGGCUGUUUCUGAAACAUGCCAGCAUGCCUCUUCUUCAAGGUCUUCAGACUUGGUAGGGCUGGCUUACUGUCUCAUUUCCUUUAUAUCAUUGGCACACAUCACAACAGUGAAACCCUCUUCCCCUACCUUACUUAAAAUUGUUUUAGUUUUCCUUGCUUUAUUUUUCUCAUGGUGCUCACCACUGUCUGCACUAGUGUAAAUUUAACCAACAUAUUGUUUCCGGCCACUCACCCCAACUAGCACGUAAGCUCUAUGAGAGCAAGGAUUUUGUGAGUUUUAUUGUACUCCUAGUGCCUAUAAUAUGACUGGUACAAAGUAGACAAUCACUAAAUAUUAUUUAUUAAAUAAAAGAACUAAGUUAAAUACAUAUUUUU
rnacentral:lncRNA from 1 species